UCACUUUCAGUUGGAAGCUGCAAGAAGCAGGGAGAAUGUUCCUAUUCAGAUAAAAUUGCUGUAAGUUAACCAGCAAUCACUGUCCGAACAGACUGGAGUCAGACGUGCAAUGCUACUGUAAAUACUGAGCCGUUCACUUGCAAUGCAGACCUGGCAGUUCUGAAGCUGGGAGUCCUUCCUCCGCCACCAGCGCCAGGCCUUCCCUGUAGGAUCCAGCAGGCAGGGUCCCACUCACUGACUCGCUCACCCAGGGCUUGUGUGGUGGUCUGGACACCAGGGCGAUGGAGGAUUCCUCAGCGUCCCCUGGCUCCGUGAGGUCACGGCCGCUGCUUGGCUUCACCCUUUUCCUCAUUUCUCUCCACGUUCACCGGCUGGACGCAGGUACUUUCAGCAGCCUUUCUACUGCCCUGCAUGAUUUUCGUCCGCUCCGACUUUUCCAUGGUUCCCGAGACCUCACCUGUGGGAAUGCACACCUACCCGUGUCCUGUGAAGGGACACGGCACGAGGAGAGAAGAGAGAGAGAGAGAGUUGGCGAACACACGAGAGAAGACAGAGAAACAUGAGAGCAGGGCAAGCCACUCAUCAGCUGGAGUCAUCCUCUUGGAUCCAACCUUCAGCUGCAGAGAAGACAUCAUUCCUGACCAGAGAAACGAGCAGCCUCUGAAAAUGGGACCUUUUCUCCCUAGUAACCACAGCUGAUCAAGAAACUUUUCUUACAAACCGAACCCUAAUUUACGGGGCUUCCCUACCCGGACUCAGGUGGAGUGUGAACAGAGUCCUCACCAAACCAGACACUUACCUUGAGCAUCACAACCAAAAAGCCCCUUUUCUAACGGCCCCCCACAGAGUCACUCUGCUCAGGAGACUCUGGCCCCUCCCCAGCCUUCAUCCCCCCCGAGCCCCGUCCCCAGCGAGGACGCCCACGGCCGGUGAGGAGGACGACGGCGAGUGCGGACAAGGAACUGGAAGCGCCGACCUCGCAGCCAGGUCUGCAGCGGGCAGAGAGCGGAGGCCUGGUUCCGCCUCCUUGGAAAGAGGCCCAAGCGGCUCAGGCCCCUCUUGCCGCGUUCCCCUCCGGCGAGAGCUCCAGCACCAUUCCUCGCCAGAGCCGCUGCGAGAGCCGAGCCGGAGCCCUCGCUCCACAGCGCUCGACGGGGGCUGGGAAUCUCGCCCUCGGCCCUGCCGCCCUCUUCCCUCCCGCCCACACCGGCCCCACGCGCCGCCCAGAGACCGAGUUCCCCCGACCAUCCCCGCUCCACUCUCGCCCCCGCGGGGGGUCGUCUCCGGGGUGGGAUUUCGGUGUCGUGUCCUCUGCCGUCUUGUGUGUGUGUCGCGUGUCGUAUGUCGUGUCGUGGGCGUGUGAGACGUCGUGUGUGUCAGUGUGUGUGGGCGGGUGUGUGUGUGGGCGGUGUCUGUGUGUGUGUGUGUGUGGUGUGUGUCUUUUGGCAUGGGCGUGUGUUGUGUGGUGUGUGGGCAUGGGCGUGUGUUGUGUUGUGUGUUGUGUUGUGUUUUGUGUGUGUGUGUGUGUGUCAUGUCAUGUGUGGUGUGUGUGUGGGCAUAUGUUGUGCCAUGUGUUGUGUAUGUGGUCAUGUGUCAUGUGUGUGUGGGCGUGUGUUGUUCGUGUGUUGUGUGUGGGCGUGUGUUCUGCGUGCAUUGUUUGGGCGUGUGAAGGCGUGUGUUGUGUGGGCGUGUGGUGUGCGGGUGUAUGUGAGAGAAGUUGUGUGUGUUUGAGACGUCAUGUGUGUGUGUGAGACGUUGUGUGUCUUGUGUGUGUGUGUCAGUCGUCGUCUGUGGUGUGUAUCGGUGUCGUGUGUGUUGGUGUUGUGUGUGUCGGUGUCGUGUGUAAGACGUCGUGUGUGUGAGUUGGUGAUGUGUGUGUCAAUGUCGUGUGUGUCGUGUGUGUGUCGGUUUCAUGUGUGUCAGUAUCGUGUGUCGGCAUGUGUGUGGUCUGUGUGUGUCGGCGUGUGUGUGUGACAUCGUGUGUGAGACAUGUCGUGUGUCGGCGUGUGUGCGACCUCAUGUGUCGUGUGUGUGUGUGUGUGGACGUGUGUGAGAGCCGUCGUGUGCCUUGCGUGUGUGUGUCGGCGUGUGUGAGAGACGUGUCUCUGUGUGUGAGAGGUUGUGUGUCGUGUGUGUGAGAGACGUGGUUGUGUGUGUGUUGUCUUGAGUGUUUUGUUCAGUGUGUGAUGUGUUGUGUGUCAGUGUUAUGUGUGAUUUGUGUGUGUGUGACGGGUUGUGUGUCGUGUUGUGCGCGUGUGCGACAUCUCCCAUGAUCACGCAGUUUCCAUGAGUAUUUACUUCAUUAAAAACAUUAAAGAGGGCUCGAUCCAUA